rnacentral:misc_RNA from 1 species
CUAGAUUCGGUAUGAUGGCUGCUCAAUUCAAAGCAUUUCUGGAUGCUACUGGAGGUCUUUGGAGAACUCAACAACUUGCAGGCAAGCCUGCUGGUAUCUUUUUCAGUACUGGAUCCCAGGGAGGCGGGCAAGAAACUACCGCGUUGACUGCAGUCACUCAACUGACCCACCACGGAAUGAUAUUUGUACCCAUUGGUUACACUUUCGGUGCUGGCAUGUUCGAGAUGGAGCAUGUCAAAGGUGGAAGCCCUUAUGGAGCUGGAACUUUUGCAGGUGAUGGCUCGAGAAAACCAUCAACUCUCGAGUUGGAGCAAGCCUUCCACCAAGGAAAG